rnacentral:rRNA from 1 species
CGUGCUUAACACAUGCAAGUCGAACGAGAGGAGAAGGAAGACUUGCUUCUUUCAAAUCUAGUGGCAAACGGGUGAGUAACACGUAAACAACCUGCCUUCAGGAUGGGGACAACAGACGGAAACGACUGCUAAUACCGAAUACGUUCCUUAGGUCGCAUGACUUUAGGAAGAAAGGGUGGCCUCUACUUGUAAGCUAUCGCCUGAAGAGGGGUUUGCGUCUGAUUAGGUAGUUGGUGAGGUAACGGCCCACCAAGCCGACGAUCAGUAGCCGGGUCUGAGAGGAUGAACGGGCCACACUGGAACUGAGACACGGCCCAGACUCCUACGGGAGGCAGCAGUGGGGAAUCUUCCGCAAUGGGCGAAAGCCUGACGGAGCAAUGCCGCGUGAGUGAUGAAGGAAUUCGUUCCGUAAAGCUCUUUUGUUUAUGACGAAUGUGCAGACUGUGAAUAAUGGUUUGUAAUGACGGUAGUAAACGAAUAAGCCACGGCUAACUACGUG